AUCCUACGGGAGGCAGCAGUGGGGAAUAUUGCACAAUGGGGGAAACCCUGAUGCAGCGACGCCGCGUGAAGGAUGAAGUAUUUCGGUAUGUAAACUUCUAUCAGCAGGGAAGAAAGCAAUGACGGUACCUGACCAAGAAGCCCCGGCUAACUACGUGCCAGCAGCCGCGGUAAUACGUAGGGGGCAAGCGUUAUCCGGAAUUACUGGGUGUAAAGGGAGCGUAGACGGCUGUGCAAGUCUGGAGUGAAAGGCGGGGGCCCAACCCCCGGACUGCUCUGGAAACUGUAUGGCUGGCGUGCAGGAGG
rnacentral:rRNA from 1 species